rnacentral:rRNA from 1 species
UACAGAGGUCUCAAGCGUUGUUCGGAUUCAUUGGGCGUAAAGGGUGCGUAGGCGGCGCGGUAAGUCGGGUGUGAAAUCUUGGAGCUUAACUCCGAAACUGCAUUCGAUACUGCCGUGCUUGAGGACUGGAGAGGAGACUGGAAUUUACGGUGUAGCGGUGAAAUGCGUAGACAUCGUAAGGAAGACCGAGUGGCGAAGGCGGGUCGCUGGACGU